rnacentral:rRNA from 1 species
UACAGGGGGUGCAAACGUUGCUCGGAAUUAUUGGGCGUAAAGCGCGCGUAGGCGGCUACUUAAGUCGGAUGUGAAAGCCCCUGGCUCAACUGGGGAAGUGCACCCGAAACUGAGUAGCUAGAGUGCAAAAGAGGGUCGCGGAAUUCCCGGUGUAGAGGUGAAAUUCGUAGAUAUCGGGAGGAACACCGGUGGCGAAGGCGGCGACCUGGGUUGACACUGACGCUGAGACGCGAAAGCAUGGGGAGCAAACAGG